rnacentral:rRNA from 1 species
UACGUAGGUGGCGAGCGUUGUCCGGAUUUACUGGGCGUAAAGGGCGUGCAGGCGGUCUGUUAAGUCUAGGGUGAAAGCUCCCGGCUCAACUGGGAGAGGUCCUUGGAUACUGGCGGACUUGAGGGAGGCAGAGGAGAAUGGAAUUCCCGGUGUAGUGGUGAUAUGCGUAGAUAUCGGGAGGAACACCAGUGGCGAAAGCGGCUCUCUGGUUCAAUACUGACACUGAGAUGCGAAAGCGUGGGGAGCGAACGGG